rnacentral:rRNA from 1 species
UACGAAGGAUCCAAGCGUUAUCCGGAUUUAUUGGGUUUAAAGGGUGCGUAGGCGGGCUAUUAAGUCAGUGGUGAAAGCCCCAAGCUUAACUUGGGAAUUGCCAUUGAUACUGAUGGUCUUGAGUGCACUUGAAGUGGGCGGAAUGUGUCAUGUAGCGGUGAAAUGCUUAGAUAUGACACAGAACACCGAUUGCGAAGGCAGCUCACUAAAUUGUAACUGACGCUGAGGCACGAAAGCGUGGGGAUCAAACAGG